UACAUGGGGUGCAAACGUUGCUCGGAAUCAUUGGGCGUAAAGCGCGCGUAGGCGGUUACUUAAGUUGGAUGUGAAAGCCCUCGGCUUAACCGAGGAAGUGCAUCCAAAACUGAGUAGCUAGAGUACGAAAGAGGGUCGCGGAAUUCCCGGUGUAGAGGUGAAAUUCGUAGAUAUCGGGAGGAACACCGGUGGCGAAGGCGGCGACCUGGGCCAGCACUGACGCUCAUGCACGAAAGCGUGGGGAGCAAACAGG
rnacentral:rRNA from 1 species